rnacentral:rRNA from 1 species
GACGAACGCUGGCGGCGUGCUUAACACAUGCAAGUCGAGCGGUAAGGCCCUUUCGGGAGUACACGAGCGGCGAACGGGUGAGUAACACGUGGGUGACCUGCCCUUAGCUCUGGGAUAAGCCUGGGAAACUGGGUCUAAUACCGGAUAUGACUCCAUGACGCAUGUUGUGGGGUGGAAAGCCUUGUGCGGCUAGGGAUGGGCCCGCGGCCUAUCAGCUUGUUGGUGGGGUGAUGGCCUACCAAGGCGACGACGGGUAGCCGGCCUGAGAGGGCGACCGGCCACACUGGGACUGAGACACGGCCCAGACUCCUACGGGAGGCAGCAGUGGGGAAUCUUGCGCAAUGGGCGAAAGCCUGACGCAGCGACGCCGCGUGGGGAUGACGGCC